CGAGAUUAUCCAGCUUGCUGGAUAUGAAAGUGGCGCACGGGUGCGUAACGCGUGAGCAACCUACCUCUGUCAGGGGGAUAGCCCGGCGAAAGUCGGAUUAACACCGCAUGACAUUAUUGAUGUGGCAUCACAUUAUAAUCAAAUAUUUAUAGGACAGAGAUGGGCUCGCGUGACAUUAGCUAGUUGGAGAGGUAACGGCUCACCAAGGCAACGAUGUCUAGGGGCUCUGAGAGGAGAAUCCCCCACACUGGUACUGAGACACGGACCAGACUCCUACGGGAGGCAGCAGUAAGGAAUAUUGGUCAAUGGAGGGAACUCUGAACCAGCCAUGCCGCGUGCAGGAUGACUGCCCUAUGGGUUGUAAACUGCUUUUGUCGGGGAAUAAACCUACGUUUGUAAACGUAGCUGAAUGUACCCGAAGAAUAAGGAUCGGCUAACUCCGUGCCAGCAGCCGCGGUAAUACGGAGGAUCCAAGCGUUAUCCGGAUUUAUUGGGUUUAAAGGGUGCGUAGGCGGUUCUUUAAGUCAGAGGUGAAAGACGGCAGCUUAACUGUCGCAGUGCCUUUGAUACUGAAGAACUUGAAUUAGGUUGAGGAAUGCGGAAUGAGACAAGUAGCGGUGAAAUGCAUAGAUAUGUCUCAGAACCCCGAUUGCGAAGGCAGCAUUCCAAGCCUUUAUUGACGCUGAUGCACGAAAGCGUGGGGAUCGAACAGGAUUAGAUACCCUGGUAGUCCACGCCCUAAACGAUGAU
rnacentral:rRNA from 1 species